AUAUCUCCCCCUAGAAUCUAAGCUCCCCGGGGGCCAACCGUGACCCAUGUCUUCUCCUAGGAACUAGAAAAAGAAGUAUACAUUGACUAGGAGAGUAACAGAUGCAGCCCUGUAUUCUCCACCUGACUAAUGGAAUUCAUAGGCUGGCUGGCAAGCAGUGCUUCUUGUAUCUGAUUGCCCAUAUAAGUUACCAUGAAACUUAAAAAUAAAAGAAAGAGGAAAAAAAGAAAUUCCCUGAACCACUGGCAUUUGAAUAUUUGGAAUGCAACCUGAGAAUCUCUAUCUUUUAAAGGCUUCCGAGGUGAUUUUGAAACCCACCAGCCAAUAAAAAAAUCAAAGACUUACAGAGGUGAAACAACAUAUCCAACACCACCCCGCAAGUGAUGAAGAAUUAAGACCUGAACUCAAGUCUGUCUGCCUCCAAACUCAGCAUUCUUUCUGCUCUGCCACGUUAACCUUGCUGACAAACAAUCCUGGGGUAAGAUCCACGUCAAGUAGAACUCUCAGGUUAAGUCCUUUCUUCCAUAGAUACAAAUGCCCUGUCCAGAUCCUGAGCUAGCUUAGGAUUGGAAGAAAACAUGAAAGGUAGCUGCAAGAUUAAAGGGGCCACCAAGGCAUCCCUAAUUCCAUCGCCACCUGCCAGAGCACAGUGGAUCCCUGCUACCUUGCCCGUCUGCUUGUGAUAACCACCCCCAUUCCUGCCUGUUCCUUUGAGAGAUCCUCCGGUUCUGGUGCAGCUGAUCACAAUAGUGCACCUGGUCACAGUGACUGGCCCAGGGCUCGGUGUCCUACCCAGCAGGCCAGUCAGAGCCUUCACAAGGAUUUUUCUAAGUGGACUUUCCAGGGCAGGCAAUUUUGCUUUCGUCAUGGAAAAUGAUUCUCUAAGAAUGUGAGUCUGGAUCUACUUGUGGCCAUGUUCUCUGGGGUUUGGGUAAAACCCAUCUUUGGGAGGAGCAAAUCAUCGCAACACAGAAGCAGAGACAGGAAGACAUAGAGCCCGACUGUGUUUGAGUCUUUGGUUCCAUUUCCUGCAGGGCUCAUCCUCACUGGUUCUUGAACAGUUCUCUAGUUCAAGGUUUUUGUUUUUGUUUUUGGUUGUGGUGGUAGUGGGUUUUUAUUUAUUGCGAAUUAGUCUGGACAAACUCAGGGACAUAUAAACAGGCCCCUCGUGUGAUGCAAGAAGCCAGUCAAGGAAGUCCCUGAGCCUACUCUGGCUGGGAGGCUGCCUGAUAAUGAUUAAAAAAAAAGAAGAAGAAGAAGAAAAAGAAGCCAGUCAUCAUCUUGAAGCCCAGGGAAUGCUUUUCAUACUGCACAUUUUUCACCUAUCAGCUUUGGGAUCAGGCAUAUCUAGGAAAGACUCCUGGCUCCAUCACUUUUAGGGCUGUGUGACACUGUGUAAGUAACUUCGCCUCUCCAAACUGCAGUUCUCCGUACAAUAAGAAUAAUAAUUGUACAUACCUCACAGGAUUGCUGUGGAAGGUUAAUGAUUAUACACAGUAUUGGGUGAUAAUAAAUACUAAUGUGUUUGUCA